rnacentral:lncRNA from 1 species
CGAUUAAUGUGAGGAAACGGGGUUUAUCUGAUAGAUUUUUGAUUCUUAUGAGUACUAAAUGGCAUCGCAAAGUGAAAUAGUAAGGAAUUUUCUCAUUUUCAGCUUUUCCGACUGAAAUCCUGAAAGUUUUGUUUGAGGUUAUGUUCUAUUGUUUUGAACCAAACGAUACAUCGAACCACUAUCGAAACGAUAUAUAGUCUGAUCCAAUGUCUGCUAUCUCGACUGUAACACUGUACGCUUGUGAGUGAGCUUUUGUAAGUGUGUUUAGUCCGUAGUGUAAUUUUCGUUCGUAAAUUUCUAGAUCUAGCGGGCAUGGAAUCUUGGAGUUCACCACCGAGAAAGCCGGGCAAGACGUGACGCCGAUGAAUCUCCAGUUCAAAGAACAAGGUCCCACACACCAGCCCCGCUCAUCGACCUUCAAUUCGAUUUCAGGCAUGCUGAACCAGUUGAAACGUAGCCUGACUGAUAUACGAUUGCAUGGAAUCUCCUCGAAACAUAGUUGUACCGACGAGGAGGCCCCUAGCCACACGGGACUAGAGUCUCUACUGAAGCUCUCUUCCAGUUCAAACAACGUUAGACAUCGGCCAGAUUCGACGAGCGUCGAUACCUCGAAAGAGACCCAGCCACUCCUCGAUCAUCAAAUUCCUAUUUCAGAGUCAGGGCUGCUGCAUUCGGAUAUGGGCAGCUUCGAUGGGCAGCCAUUGUCGAGGGAGGAUAUUCUACCGCUGAACCCAGAGGACAUGCCCAGCAAAAACAACGUCACCACUGCCUCAUCCUUGUUCAUGACCCCCCAGUCUCAAAGCUCUACACAUUCCCUUCGCCAAGCACCACUCUCCUCUGCUGGUAAAUCUUCCCGAAAAAAUUAGAGCCUCUCAAUGAAGCUAUUCUCAGAGAUAAAUGGAACCGCGUUAAGCAAAAUGGAACCAACCCGCAUCAGCUAAGGUGAUUCGAUGGACGCUAUAUUUUGUAUCAGAACGGCAUGCGAUAUAUCGCAUCUAUGGACCAGUAGACAAGGGACUAAUUUCAGCAUUCUGAUACACGUUUCCUAACCAUUUCACGUUGAACACGAUGCACACAAC